rnacentral:rRNA from 1 species
GACGUAGGGAGCAAGCGUUGUCCGGAUUUACUGGGCGUAAAGGGCGCGUAGGCGGUCUGUUAAGUGAGAAGUGAAAUAUCCAGGGCUCAACCCGGAAACGGCUUUUCAUACUGGCAGACUAGAGGGAUGCAGAGGUAAGUAGAAUUCCUGGUGUAGCGGUGACAUGCAUUGAUAUCAGGAGGAAUACCCAUGGCGAAGGCAGCUUACUGGGCAUCAUCUGACGCUGAGGCGCGAAAGCGUGGGUAGCAAACAGG